GACGAACGCUGGCGGCGUGCCUAAUACAUGCAAGUCGAGCGAAUCAAUAGGAGCUUGCUCCUGUUGGUUAGCGGCGGACGGGUGAGUAACACGUGGGCAACCUGCCUGUAAGACUGGGAUAACACCGGGAAACCGGUGCUAAUACCGGAUAAUCCUUUUCCUCUCAUGAGGGAAAGCUGAAAGUCGGUUUCGGCUGACACUUACAGAUGGGCCCGCGGCGCAUUAGCUAGUUGGUGAGGUAACGGCUCACCAAGGCAACGAUGCAUAGCCGACCUGAGAGGGUGAUCGGCCACACUGGGACUGAGACACGGCCCAGACUCCUACGGGAGUCAGCAGUAGGGAAUCUUCCGCAAUGGACGAAAGUCUGACGGAGCAACGCCGCGUGAGUGAUGAAGGCUUUCGGGUCGUAAAACUCUGUUGUUAGGGAAGAACAAGUACGAGAGUAACUGCUCGUACCUUGACGGUACCUAACCAGAAAGCCACGGCUAACUACGUGCCAGCAGCCGCAGUAACAC
rnacentral:rRNA from 1 species